rnacentral:tRNA from 1 species
GCUUUCUGGUCGAGUGGUAAGGACACUUGCCUGUCACCCUGGAAUUCCGGGUUCGAUCCCCGGUCGAGGAGCU